AGUGAACGCUGGCGGUAGGCCUAACACAUGCAAGUCGAACGGCAGCACAGUAAGAGCUUGCUCUUACGGGUGGCGAGUGGCGGACGGGUGAGGAAUACAUCGGAAUCUACUUUUUCGUGGGGGAUAACGUAGGGAAACUUACGCUAAUACCGCAUACGACCUACGGGUGAAAGCAGGGGAUCUUCGGACCUUGCGCGAUUGAAUGAGCCGAUGUCGGAUUAGCUAGUUGGCGGGGUAAAGGCCCACCAAGGCGACGAUCCGUAGCUGGUCUGAGAGGAUGAUCAGCCAAACUGGAACUGAGACACGGUCCAGACUCCUACGGGAGGCAGCGGUGGGGAAUAUUGGACAAUGGGCGCAAGCCUGAUCCAGCCAUACCGCGUGGGUGAAGAAGGCCUUCGGGUUGUAAAGCCCUUUUGUUGGGAAAGAAAAGCAGCAGGUUAAUACCCCGCUGUUCUGACGGUACCCAAAGAAUAAGCACCGGCUAACUUCGU
rnacentral:rRNA from 1 species